rnacentral:rRNA from 1 species
GAGGAAUAUUGGGCAAUGGGCGCAAGCCUGACCCAGCCAUGCCGCGUGAAGGAUGAAGGCCCUAUGGGUUGUAAACUUCUUUUUUACGGGACAAAACUCUCGGACGUGUCCGGGAUUGAUGGUACUGUAUGAAUAAGCAUCGGCUAACUCCGUGCCAGCAGCCGCGGUAAUACGGAGGAUGCAAGCGUUAUCCGGAUUCAUUGGGUUUAAAGGGUGCGUAGGCGGAAUAAUAAGUCAGUGGUGAAAGCCUGCGGCUUAACCGUAGAAUUGCCGUUGAUACUGUUAUUCUUGAGUAUAGUUGAAGUGGGCGGAAUGUGUAAUGUAGCGGUGAAAUGCUUAGAUAUUACACAGAACACCAAUUGCGAAGGCAGCUCACUAAACUGUUACUGACGCUGAGGCACGAAAGCGUGGGGAGCAAAC